UACGGAGGGUGCGAGCGUUGUCCGGAAUCACUGGGCGUAAAGGGCGCGUAGGUGGCGCGGGAAGUCAACGGUGAAAGUUCGGGGCUCAACCCUGAAUCGGCCGUCGAUACUCCCGGGCUCGAGCACUGUAGAGGCAGAUGGAAUUCCGGGUGUAGCGGUGGAAUGCGUAGAGAUCCGGAAGAACACCGGUGGCGAAGGCGGUCUGCUGGGCAGUUGCUGACACUGAUGCACGACAGCGUGGGGAGCAAACAGG
rnacentral:rRNA from 1 species